rnacentral:rRNA from 1 species
AUGAAGUAUCUUGGUUUACCUUUGUCGGUCAAGCGUCUAAAAAGAAUUCAUUUUCAACCUCUCGAGGACAAGAUCGCGACUCAGCUUACUCCGUGGGUAGGGAAGCACAUUGCUGCUCCGGGGCGGACGGUGCUAGUCAAGUCGGUUAUCAUGGCAAUCGCCAUCUACUACAUGAGAACCCUAAAUCUCCCGGUUGAAGUUAUGGAGAAGAUUGACGCUCUCCAGAGGGCCUUUCUUUGGGCUGGAUGUGACAAGGUCACGGGUGGCAAAUGUAAGAUAAACUGGGAGCAGGUGUGUAGAUCAAAGCUGCUUGGUGGGUUAGGUGUGCUUCACCUCGCAAAGUUUGCCUCUGCUCUCCGGCUGCGGUGGCUGUGGUUCAAAUGGCAAGUCCCGGCCAAGCCUUGGGUGGGUUUGGGAACCCCAUGUGAUAAGAACGACCGGAACAUCUUCGCUGCGGCAACCAAGGUCAUGGUGGGCAAUGGCCUUCGGGCAUCCUUCUGGGAAUCGACCUGGCUUGAUGGCUUGAGGCCGAAGGAUGUGGCCCCAAAACUUUAUGAUAUUUCCAGAAAGAAGAUGUGUUCGGUUCAAAAGGCCUUGCAUAAUGGUUAUUGGAUCUCCCAGCUGGACAUUUCUUCGGGCAUCUCUAUUGACCACAUCUCCUAG